CUAACUGGAGGACCGAACCGACUAAUGUUGAAAAAUUAGCGGAUGACUUGUGGCUGGGGGUGAAAGGCCAAUCAAACCGGGAGAUAGCUGGUUCUCCCCGAAAGCUAUUUAGGUAGCGCCUCGUGAAUUCAUCUCCGGGGGUAGAGCACUGUUUCGGCAAGGGGGUCAUCCCGACUUACCAACCCGAUGCAAACUGCGAAUACCGGAGAAUGUUAUCACGGGAGACACACGGCGGGUGCUAACGUCCGUCGUGAA
rnacentral:rRNA from 1 species